ACCCUCCAGCCGCACCCCGCAGCCUCCAUUCUCACGCCUCACCCAGCAGCCUCCAUUCUCACCCCGCAGCCACCAUUCUCACGCCGCAUCCGGCAGCCGCAAUCGCACGCCUGCACCCUCCAUUCUCACCGCCAGGCGCUAUCCUGAAUUUUCUUUCCUUUUUCUGCCAACUUUUUUCCCGUUCCACACCCGCAGCCGCAGCCAUACGGAGCCACCUCGGUAGAGCCAGGGGCCUCUACCAUAUCCCGAUUCGCUGCAUUCUGGUAACCAUUUCUUCUCAAUUUUUGCAAUUUCUUGAUCAUAGGUUGGCAUAUCCAAAUCGUCUUCUUUUCAAAAGAUACCAACAAGUAUGUUUAAUUAGUUUUUCUUUUUGUGGUAAGAGAUGUGUGUUUAAUUGAUACCAGUUCCUCUGAUUUCCGUCUACUUAAUUCCUUUUUUAAUCACUUCUUUUUUUUUCUUUUCUUUUCAAUUAGCUAGCAAAUUUAGUAGUAUAUAUAUAUAUAUAUAUAUAUAAUAUAUAUAUAUACAUAUACUGGGACCAUUAUAUGAAGACGUGGGAGAAAUUGCAGCUCCGAUUGCUAUUCGAUUAUUGGUCUGGACAAAGCCUGAGCAUAGCAAAUUAUAACAACCUAUGGCUUGAUAUGCAUCGCUCUGUACAUCAUUCAUUGAAUUAGCUUGAUGAAUUUGGUCAAGUUAAUUACGAUUAAUCAUAAGUUCCUUAAAGAAGAUGAAUGAAUGGCAAUAAUUAAUGCCACUGCCACUUAGACACUUACUGUCCAAUAUGUAAAAAAUCUUGGAUAGUUGUCCCCAUACAGCUCUGAGCUAACCUGCGGGAAUUAAAUGAAUUUAGGAUCUAUAUAUGGCUCCAUAUACCCAACAAAAAAAAAUCAAUGAAUUAGAAAGGUGGUUGAGUAUGUAAUAAGUGCUUUUGUUAUCAAUUUUGAGCAACCAACCAUUCACGUACACUACCUUCUAUGUAUGCUUUCCAAUCAAAAGAAGUAGACUGACUUCCCAUUUCAAUUUGAAAAAUGAAUUAUGGUAAAUAUUUGUUUCUCUGAAAAUAAAUCAGGCAGAUUAUUUCCUAUGUUUAAAAACCAUGGUACGUAAUUGAUCCCUUGUGAUCAUUAAAUGUCAUCUGAGGUAUUUGCAGGAUAUUUCUAGGCAGUUAGCAAGAUAGAUGCACUUUUGCUUACUAAAUAGCAAUUAAUUUACGUAAUUUGAAGUUAGUAAUUAGCAAAAAUCUGCUUACACAUGUAGGUAGUACAUGCAUAUAUAUUACUUCAAUAGCAGAUUAAGUUGACAAUUGCAUCUUAACGUUAGUUGUUUGCAUUCAAAGUCAAUUCCCACUAUGUUUUUCCUUGGCAAAGCACUUAGGAAAGCUGCCAUCUUUAAAUUGAUUCAUAUAUUCAAAGCCAUCCAUUAAGCCAGGACUUGUUAUGCACCAAAUCAUGAAAAUUUUGAUUUUAAAGAGUUCUCAUCUCUUCAUGUCACAUCAGUAUGUUAUACUUUUGUAUCAAAAGAGAUUCCAACUUUAGCUUCCACUUUCAUUGCCCAUGCUCAUCUUUUGUUUUUCCUGUUUCCUUAGUUUAGUAAUAAACUGCUUUGCUUUUCGAUUUCUGAUGAUCUGGUUGAGUUUCAUUCGAGAUGGUUGGCUACAGUCAGACCACUAGAGCGCAUGUGAAUUGUGUACUAUCUUCAGAUGACACUAUUCGUAUUUAAUUUAUUGGAAAUGCCACUAUACUGUCCUUUCAUCACUGUCUGCAUGCACAAACAAAUUGGAACUAUGGAUUCAGUAUUUCCCCGUAAUUCAUCACUGUCCCUUGUUUGGAUUGCCAUUUUAAGAGUUUUUAAGAGCUUUUCUCUGUUAUUUCAUUCAUCUGAAUGUAAGCUUGAGAAUUGAGAUAGGAGAUAGGAACAAGUUAAAGAAAUGUUAAAAUUGGCUUGAAGUGGGCAUUAUUUCUUGGAAUCUGUUUUAUUACUUUUGUAUCUUAUUUCUUAGAAAUGUUAUUCUAAAUUUCUGUUUUGGCUAAUCAAAAUUUGUAUUGGUUAUUAAAUGUGUUUUGAUUAAGGAAUGUACAGCUCUCCACUCAACUCAUUUCAAGGUUCAUCAUCAAGUCUUGUGAUGGAGCAAAAUAUUGAAGACGUGGAACAAUUGAACUACAAUGAAGAAAGAGCCGAUGAGAUGAGUGAAGAAGAGAUAGAAAUGAUAGAAGAUGAUGGUAAUGAAGGAGGACAGCAAGUAGAUGGAGAUGGAGGAGUUGGUCCUUUGGAAAUGUUGUUAUCUGAUCUGUUUUGGACAUUUUGGUCACUGAUAUGUUGUAAUCUGAUCUGGUUUGGACAUUGUAAUCCGAGUUUGGACAUUUUGUUUCUCCAUUUGAUGGUUAUUGCUGUAGUUUUAACUUCUUUUUAACUCCAUAAUUAUUAGGUUCUGGCU
rnacentral:lncRNA from 1 species